UCAGUUAGACUGUCCCUCAGAAUACCCAGAGACACCUGCAGUUUGUUCUUUUUCCACCUUCUCUCUGCCUGUUUGCAGAGUUGCCUGAGGGCAAGGGUCGUGGCAUUUAACCACGGGUCAGGUCGUGAGUUUAUGGA